CAGGCGCGGGAGCACGGGAUGCCAAAAGGCGGAUCCCUAGAGGAGGUGCAGAAGGAACACCAUGUGAAGACACACGCCUAGGAGAGAGGCCUCCAAAGAAACCAACUCUGCCAAAACCUUGAUCUUGGACUUCCAGCCUCCAGACUUGAAGGGUUGAAGAAUCAUUUAAUCCCCUGGAGGAAGACUAGAGAUGGAGACCAGAAGGCCACUGCGAUUGUCUGACCAGAGAAGAUACCUUGGUCUGGCUACAGCUGUAGCAGGAGAGAGAGAUGGGAGAAUGUUACAUUUAACUCUUUGUUCA